GUGCUCGCUUCAGCAGCACAUAUACUAAAAUUGGAACGAUACAGAGAAGAUUAGUAUGGCCCCUGCACAAGGAUGACAAUUCACAAAUUCGCGAAACAUUCCAUUUUUUU